GGUGUCUGUAGUAAUAGUUUGCUGCGAUCCUGAAUGUCGCCGCCAAUAUGAUACGGUAAACCACAGUUAGCAAACGAUACGAACUCGCCUCGUUCGAACAUGAUGAUUUCGGCAUCUUCACUCAAACGACGUGCUCUAGCUGCUGCUGAAGCACCACCUGCAACGCCUC
rnacentral:antisense_RNA from 1 species